UGGGUUUGAGCCUCAGGGACAGAGCAGGGCUGGGCUUCCUAUCUGUCAGCUGGUGUGCUAUUUAUGAUGGCCCUUGAGAAGCCGUUAAACAGAGACCAGCUUUGCCGGUGGCCUCCGAAUCCAGCGAUGACGUCACCCUAGGCAGAAGGACCCGCCUGCAUCUGUUGCCACAGCAACCACCACACAUGCUCAGCUUGCAUCUCGCCUGCACGUAAACUUUGCGUCUCACCAGCGAGCGCUGGUGCGGUGUGCAUGAUUAUGUCACAGCCCGAAUAAAAGGCAGAGACCCCAGCCCCCCUCUCCUCCUUCUUUGUCUGCCCUCUUCUUUCCUCCUUCUCUUCCCCCAAUAAACCUCUUCUCGUGGA